CACGACGCCGCUCUACUACGUCAAUGCCCCUCCUCACAUGGGCACUGGGCAGCGCCUACACCACCAUUGCCGCUAAUCCCAUCGCUCGCUUUCAGUGUCAUUGAAGCUCUCAAGGUGGAUAGUUUGCAGAAACUUUGCUCAUCAUUGGAGCCCAUACUUCGGCGUGUCGUUAGUGAAGAAGUGGAGCGAGCUUUAGCAAAAUUGGGCCCCUUCAAAAUUACUGGGAGGUAUGCUAUUUUUUAGCUAGGUGGAACCAUAGUGAUGAAAUUUUUGUAUUGGCUUGACGCUCUGAGUUGUGAAUCUGGUUUGCUUGAGAAGAUACUCAUUAGCUCUGUAGGGGCAGGUAUGAAUUGCCUGAAGGUUAAGCUGGAAACAUGUUUGUGCAUAUGGUUCUUCCAUGGUUUAUUUAUUUAUAUGGUUGACCUCGCUUAGUGGGAUAAAGCUUAGUUGUUGUUGUUAUUUUUUGUUUGUUUGCU